rnacentral:rRNA from 1 species
AUUGAACGCUGGCGGCAGGCCUAACACAUGCAAGUCGCGCGGAGCGGCGGACGCGUGAGUAAUGCCUAGGAAUCGGACUGGUAGUGGGGGAUAAUGUCCGGAAACGGGCGCUAAUACCGAAUCCACUUAGAUUAGCCUAGGUCGGAUUAGCAUGUUGGGGGGGUAAAGGCAUAACAAGGCGACGAUCCGUAGCUGGUCUGAGAGGAUGAUCAGUCACACUGGAACUGAGACACGGUCCAGACUCCUACGGGAGGCAGCAGUGGGGAAUAUUGGACAAUGGGCGAAAGCCUGAUGCAGCCAUGCCGCGUGUGUGAAGAAGGUCUUCGGAUUGUAAAGCACUUUAAGUUGGGAGGCGUUACCAACAGAAUAAGCACCGGCUAACUUCGUGCCAGCAGCCGCGGUAAUAC